GUUGUCAUUUAAAGGUAUUACCAUUUGGGGAAUACAGAUAUACAUAAUACCACAGAAAUGUUAUAUCUUGGAUUACAAACAUUGAUCAGAAAUAGAGUACGGAAAGAGAGUUCAAUCUUACUCCAAAGAGGAGAGCUUGACUGUGACUUGACCCAGACUGAGAUGAGACCAAGGUAGGGCGAGACAGGGCCUUCUGGCUGUGCAGAAACAUUCCUAGAGACUUGGACAAGGUGACAAAAUUUGCACAUAUUCUUGGAAACCAUGGACUAGGCCAUCUAGAGAAGGCACUGUUAAAAGGGUUGGAAGACAUAGCAGUUCCUGUCACAGAAACAACUCCCA
rnacentral:misc_RNA from 1 species